rnacentral:rRNA from 1 species
UACAGAGGGUGCGAGCGUUGUCCGGAAUCACUGGGCGUAAAGGGCGCGUAGGCGGCGCGGUAAGCGUGCGGUGAAAGCCCGGGGCUCAACCCCGGGUCGGCCGUGCGGACUGCCGGGCUGGAGCACUGUAGAGGCAGGUGGAAUUCCGGGUGUAGCGGUGGAAUGCGUAGAGAUCCGGAAGAACACCGGUGGCGAAGGCGGCCUGCUGGGCAGUGGCU